rnacentral:lncRNA from 1 species
CACUUCCAGGGAUGAAGGAGGAAAGACGUAGUCAUCUGCUUGCCCCAGCUCACAGCCGGACGCUGCGGCUUUUGGAAAAUAGCCACCAUGAAGCCGGUGGCCCUGGUCCCCCUCUCGAGGUAUCAUAAAGCCAUUCAUAACGGCAUAAACGCCUGACAACACUCCCUGAUGCCAGCCCGGGAGUCUCACUCUGUCAUCCAGACUCUCCACCCAGUGGCGUGAUGAUCAUAGCUCAUUGCAGCCUUGAACUCCUGAGCUCAAGCAAUCCUCCCACCUCAGCCUCCCAAGUAGCUGGGACCACAGGCAUGUCCCACCACACCUGGCUCUUUCCUCCUGGCCUCAAGCAAUCCUCCCACCUCAGCUUC